AGAGUUUGAUCCUGGCUCAGGAUGAACGCUAGCGGGAGGCCUAACACAUGCAAGUCGAACGGGAUUGAGAGCUUGCUCUCAUGAGAGUGGCGCACGGGUGAGUAACGCGUAUGCAACCUGCCUUUAACUGAGGGAUAGCCCAUAGAAAUGUGGAUUAAUACCUCAUAGUUCUGAGUUACCGCAUGGUGAUUCAGAUAAAGCUCCGGCGGUUAAAGAUGGGCAUGCGUGACAUUAGCUAGUUGGUGAGGUAACGGCUCACCAAGGCUACGAUGUCUAGGGGUUCUGAGAGGAUGAUCCCCCACACUGGUACUGAGACACGGACCAGACUCCUACGGGAGGCAGCAGUGGGGAAUAUUGGACAAUGGGCGAAAGCCUGAUCCAGCCAUGCCGCGUGUGUGAAGAAGGCCUUUUGGUUGUAAAGCACUUUAAGCGAGGAGGAGGCUACUUAGAUUAAUACUCUAGGAUAGUGGACGUUACUCGCAGAAUAAGCACCGGCUAACUCUGUGCCAGCAGCCGCGGUAAUAU
rnacentral:rRNA from 1 species